UACGGGGGGUGCGAGCGUUAAUCGGAAUUACUGGGCAUAAAGGGUGCGUAGGCGGCGCGUCAAGUCACUGGUGAAAGUUUGCGGCCCAACCGUAAAAUUGCCGGCGAUACUGGCGUGCUCGAGUGCGUGAGGGGUUGGGGGAACGAGUGGUGUAGCGGUGAAAUGCGUAGAGAUCACUCGGAAGGCCAGAGCCGAAGGGGCCCAACUGGUACGCAACUGACGCUGAGGCACGAAAGCGUGGGGAGCAAACAGG
rnacentral:rRNA from 1 species